UACGUAGGGUGCAAGCGUUAAUCGGAAUUACUGGGCGUAAAGCGUGCGCAGGCGGUUAUGUAAGACAGGUGUGAAAUCCCCGGGCUUAACCUGGGAACUGCAUUUGUGACUGCAUAGCUAGAGUACGGUAGAGGGGGAUGGAAUUCCGCGUGUAGCAGUGAAAUGCGUAGAGAUCCGGAGGAACACCAGUGGCGCAGGCGGUGUCCUGGGGCGUACCUGACGCUGAGACGCGAAAGCAUGGGGAGCGAACGGG
rnacentral:rRNA from 1 species